AGCUCCAGUAGCGUAUAUUAAAGUUGUUGCAGUUAAAAAGCUCGUAGUUGGAUUUCUGGUUUGAUAUGCCUGGCCCGCCACGGUUACGUGUGUGAGUGCCGGUGCGUGUCUGCCAUCCUUCUGGAAAACGCGUCUACCCUUCACUGGGCCGGGCGCGCGAUCCAGAUCAUUUACUUUGAAAAAAUUAGAGUGUUUAAAGCAGGCUUUUUGCUAUGAAUACAUUAGCAUGGAAUAAUAAUUUAGGACUUUGGCCCUAUUUUGUUGGUUUCUAGGACUGAAGUAAUGAUUGAUAGGGAUAGUUGGGGGUGCUCGAAUUCAGCGGCCAGAGGUGAAAUUCUUGGAUUCGCUGAAGACGAACUCAUGCGAAAGCAUUCACCAAGGAUGUCUUCU
rnacentral:rRNA from 1 species